UCACUGCUAUGUAGCUUUUCUCUCUUACGCCUUAUUUGCUAUCGAGUCUCAUUCGCAUCUCGAUUUGGCAACCCCUCCGAUCGUUUUCUCCGAUAAGUUUCUCCACCUUCAACACGCACACAUCCACACACACACACACAAACUCUCUCUCUCUCUCUCUCUCUCUCUCUCUCUCUCUCUCUCUCUCUCUCUCUCUCAUAAGAAUGCUCUAGAUCUCUCUCCUUCACGUGCCCAUCUGAGAGCCAUGUCGAUCCCAUUAUACAUUGCUACUAUUGGGCUUUUUUACCAUUCGAGUCUAUAGCAAUGAUAUUGGGUCUCUACUUUGUACAACUUUGAUUUGUAAAAAUUUGGUCACCGUUGGGUCUCUAAUUCGAUUAUUUUAUCUUUGGUUUGUAGAGCUUCUAUGCUCCUGUUUUGGGGUUUUGACAGAUUUCCAUUAUACAGAUUCUAUGAUUUGUACUUUAUAUAAUGUGUUGAUCUCAGUUGUUGGUUGGUUGUGAUUUCUAAGAUUUGUGAUUUGUGAUUUGUGGCUUGUGCUUUGUGAUUUCUGUGAUUUUUGAGAUUUCUGCUUUGUGACAGGUUGUUGUAAACUUAUCAUUGGGUUUCAAAUAUCAUUGAUUUGUGCUUUGGUGAUUUCUGGCAGUCACUUUAUUGUCAAUUGGUUUGUUAUUGAGUUAGUGCAUUCUCAUUUGCACCUUAAGGGAUUGAUAUGCAUAGGCUAUCAUUGGGGUUGUCUGUGUAAUGUGAUGAGGCUUUGAUAAUGGUAGAAUUGCAAGUUUAGAGUGUAAUAUCAGAAUUAUUAUGCUCAUUGAUUAGUAUGGCAAGGUAACUCGAAUGGCCAUUUUUAUUGUGAAAUUUUUACAAAGGCAAUCGGGAUUUGCAACCAUUAAAUUUUGUGUUCUUUCCUAUACUUGAUAUUGGACCAUUCUAAGCCCCAAAUUUAUUGACUUACAACCUAUUUUGGACUCUAUUUUGUGCUUUGUUGGCUAAAUUAGUUGGGUGGGUAAGGGGAUUGGCCCUUGUUGAUUGAUGCGGUAGCUUCAUCCACUUGUGUUGGUAGCUCAAUAACCAUGCGUUAUAACUUGUUUUGGACUUUGGUUUGUGAUUUCUUGGCUUAAUUGGUUGGGUGUGCAAGGGGGCUUGACCCUUGUUGGUCCAUGUGGCAACCCCAUCCAUUUGUGUUGGUAGCCCUAAAAUCAUGUGCUAUAACCUAUUUUGGACUUUGGUUUGUACUUUCUUGGCUUAAUUGGUUGGGUGUGCAAGGGAGUUUGACCCUUGUUGGUCCAUGUGGCAACCCCAUCCACCUGUGUUGGCAGGCCCAAAAUCAUCUGCUAUAACCCAUUUUCUACAUUGUUUUGUGCCUUCUAACCUAUUUUGGACUUUGGUUUGUCCUUUCCUGGCUUCAUUGAAUAAUUGUUCUGCUUUGUUUGAUGAAUAGGUUUUGUUUCCCCUUUGAUUGUGAUGAUGUUGAACUUGAGCAGUGAGAAGGGAAAUUGGCACAAACUCCAUGACAAGGUACAACCAUCUUUUCAACUUUUGGACGAUGAUAUCUCUUGUUGUACUCCCACAUAUCAAGAUGUAGACGUCGAUAUCUGUAGGUUUGGGAUUGUAAAUCAAUUCUUUAGCCAUAUUGGCCAAGCCUUAAUGUGGCAGACUAAGUAUAAGAUACGAGGAUGAGUGUUGCAAUUUUGUAGUUUUGUGGAUAUGUUUUAUGUUAGCAAUUAAUUGAGAGAUGAAAGUAGCAAAAGGAAUGGAACUUUGAUGAUGCAAGGCAGAAGUGUUGCUUUUGUGAGUCUGGGACUCCAAAUUAGUUUGAGCAUUUGUAACAAUUUGGUGAAAAUUUGAGUAUAACCAGUUAUUUGGAAAAUUAAUAACCAUUUUGUAACCAUGCUUUUAAUGUUGAUAAUGUUAUAAUAACAAUAGUAUUAUUAUUGUUGAUGUUA